GCAACCCUCCUUUAGAGCUAAGGUUUCCAUGACAAGGGCAGAAGGAGCAAGGACUUUCUUGGCGAAUCCACCCACAAGACGCCCACGAUGGUCUCUGCAAACCCCAACAACCGCUCCUUGUUUUGAGGCGCAACACCAAGACCCAUCCACAGUUAAUUUUAGCGAGCUUGUUGUUAGUGGAACAUAAGAGGAGGAGAUGCUCGAGUGUUUCUGGGGCAUCUUGGCAAAUUGGGCAGAGUGGAUCAGGUUCAAAUUCGGGACAUCCUCCAAAAUUUACCUAGGAAAGGAAUCAAUUCGAAACCCACUAAUACCUAUUGCUGGAGCGGAAGAAGCAUGGAUGAAGGGAGCUCUAAACAGAUGCCAUCUCUAUUUCACUAGCAUUUCUUUGCCCAGAAACCAGAAUAAAUCCAUUCUCGCAAGAAGCUUUAUGUAUUGGGAGGUAGAAAGAUGAUGGUAGGACCAUUGCUACAAGAGGAAAGAUUUCAUUGUAAAGAUGGAUUCAUAGGGUGUAGUGGUAUGUGUUCAUGUUAAGGGAUUUUGAUUGGCAGGUGGAUAGAAUCCAUUUAGGCUAGGAGAUUUAGGGCUUGGAAUACACUAUUGCCAUGGAUAGAGAUGAAACUCUUCCGAGGAAGAGAGGGACUCUUAUAGGAAGAGAGUAUUCUGGACAUAUGCUGAAUCGGUGUAAAAUUGAUUAACAGACUAAAAAAUCUGACAAGA